rnacentral:rRNA from 1 species
AACGAACGCUGGCGGCAUGCCUUACACAUGCAAGUCGAACGGCAGCGGGGACUUCGGUCCGCCGGCGAGUGGCGAACGGGUGAGUAACGUAUCGGAACGUACCUUUCAGUGGGGGAUAACGUAGCGAAAGUUACGCUAAUACCGCAUAUUCUGUGAGCAGGAAAGCAGGGGGUCGCAAGACCUUGCGCUGAUUGAGCGGCCGAUAUCAGAUUAGCUAGUUGGUGAGGUAAAGGCUCACCAAGGCGACGAUCUGUAGCGGGUCUGAGAGGAUGAUCCGCCACACUGGAACUGAGACACGGUCCAGACUCCUACGGGAGGCAGCAGUGGGGAAUUUUGGACAAUGGGGGCAACCCUGAUCCAGCCAUGCCGCGUGAGUGAAGAAGGCCUUCGGGUUGUAAAGCUCUUUCGGCCGGGAAGAAAUCGUAUGGGUUAAUACCCUGUGCGGAUGACGGUACCGGCAUAAGAAGCACCGGCUAACUACGUGCCAGCCGCCGCCGUAAGAC